rnacentral:rRNA from 1 species
CAAAAGGGUGGGAAGAGCUUUGAGUAGAGGUGAUAAACCUACCGAGCACAGUAAUAGCUGGUUGCCUGAGAAAUGAAUAGUAGUUCAGCCCUUUACUCUUCCCCCUCCUAAACCGUAUCCACAAAAUACAGGAAGGUAAAGGAGUUAAUCAAAAGGGGGACAGCCCUUUUGAUCAAAGAAACAACUUUAACAGGUGAAAUAAGACCAUAAUAAUCAAGGCUUAAAAUCUAAGUGGGCUUAAAGGCAGCCAUCUUACAAGAAAGCGUUAAAGCUCUGACUUACCUCUUACCCCUUUUAUUCUGAUACUUAAUCUUUAACCCUGCCACCUACCAGGCUGUCUUAUGCCCCCAUAAGAAUAAUUAUGCUAAAAUGAGUAAUAAGAAGAAACACUCUUCUCCUAGCACACGUGUAAGUCGGACCGGACCCCCCGCCGAUUACUACCCGAACCCAAACCCAGAGGGACAUAAGUUGAAAAAACAAGAAAAACACUUAAUAAAAAUCGUUAACCCUACACAGGAGUGCACCAAGGAAAGACUAAAAGAGAAGGAAGGAACUCGGCAAACCCAAGCCUCGCCUGUUUACCAAAAACAUCGCCUCUUGAUUCUCCCAUAUAAGAGGUCUCGCCUGCCCACUGACUAUAUGUUAAAUGGCCGUGGUAUCUUAACCACGCGAAGGUAGCGUAAUCAUUUGUCUUUUAAAUGAGGACCUGUAUGAAUGGCAAAACGAGGGCUUAACUGUCUCCCUCCUCCAGUCAAUGAAAUGACCUCCCCGUGCAGAGGCGGGUAUAAACCUAUAAGACGAGAAGACCCUGUGGAGCUUUAGACCUAAAAUAAAUCCACUCAUCAAGUUCAAGUACGAACCAAUUAACCCAGUGAAAAUUAUUAAUGUGUCUUUGGUUGGGGUGACCUUGGGGUAACACAAAGCCCCCACGAAGAUAGAGGACAUACUCCUCAACACUCAGAGCCGCCCCUCAAGCUCAAAAACUUUGACUUUAAAAAUGAUCCGGCUUAGCCGAAUAACGAACCUAGUUACCCCAGGGAUAACAGCGCAAUCCCCUUCCAGAGCCCCUAUCGACAAGG